UAAUGUAUGGGGAUCUGCCCGACAGAGGGGAAUAACUACUGGAAACGGUGGCUAAUACCGCAUAAUGUCUACGGACCAAAGCAGGGGCUCUUCGGACCUUGCACUAUCGGAUGAACCCAUAUGGGAUUAGCUAGUAGGUGGGGUAAAGGCUCACCUAGGCGACGAUCUCUAGCUGGUCUGAGAGGAUGAUCAGCCACACUGGGACUGAGACACGGCCCAG
rnacentral:rRNA from 1 species